ACAAUCUGAGACCAAACCAUUAAUGUUAUCUCCAGAUUUCGGGUUUCUGUAUCAACCUCCUUCCAAGAGAGCUCAUAAGGACUGAAACAAUAGUGGAAGACUAAGUUGGUGGGAGGAGGAACUAGCUGGUAGAAGAAGUACCCUGCUUUUAUUAAGAAAUAGGCUUCGAUAAACAAAGAACUCUCGUAUGUUUUGUUUCUAGAUGUUUGGUUUUAGUUUUUUCUUUCUUUCUUUUUGUGGGAUUUUGGUAUAACAAACCUCGGUUAUACAUGAAUGCUUUGCUGAUAA